GUUAUGUUUUGGCUUUAGGAGAAAAACUAAAUAAAUCAAUGUUGAUAACACACCAGUAUUUUAGAUUUUGUUGAGCACAGAAUUAGAGAUGUUUCGUGACCUUAUCUGGAAAAGAGACUUUCUACAUCAUGUGACAUGAUGGGAAAAACUAUAAAACACUGUAGGCAACAACCAGUAGCCCUCACUUCAUUUCAGUUAACAAGGAAAGAGUGAAAAGUCAUGGAAAAAAUAUGAUAAUAUUAAAGAAUUUGGAAUCAGGUUAAUGGGAAGGCCCAUUCCUGCUGAUAACUUGGAGGAGAGCAAGAAUGCUUAGGAUAAACUGUAUUGGUUAUUGUCACUGUCUUUGUGAUUGUUAAAUGUUUAAGUCCCCUGCAGCUCAGCGACACUGGGCCACUGCCAUCGUGGUCCUUGGUGUGCCGCGACAUAUCAAGACAGACAAUGGCUCGUGCUUCAUCUCGCAAUCUACUCAAGAAUGGCUUGAGCAUUGGGGAAUAUCUCACUCGACAGGAAUCCCUGGGAAUUCCCAGGGGCAAGCAAUUGUGGAAAGGGCCAACCAUCUCCUGAAGGACAAGAUACGUGUCCUUGGGGAGGGGGAAGGUCACAGAGAAUAGAGCUGCAAUAGAUUUCCUGCUGCUGGCUCAAGGGUAUGGGUGCAAGGACUUUGAAGGGUUGCUUACAACUUACGAUGGAAAGAGUGCUUAAUGAGAGAAUGGAGUUCCAGCGGAUAUACAAGAAGCUUUGCGCAGAAGGAUGAACUGUAUAAUAUAACCAAAGAUGCCUUGGACAUACUGGUUAGAACACCACUAACAUUGUUAGGCAUUGCACCACUUAUCUCUGCAUGUUUUGUAACCUGUAUACCUCACUUUAUAGUUAAUAUGUAACAAAGUUUAAAUUGUAUAAGGACUAACACUUUUAUAUAUUAGGAUUAGGAUCGGCGCUUGCGUUGUAACGGGGCAUGGUUUUGUUAAGCAUGGGGGGGGGGAGAUGUUGCAUUAGGCGUGCACGAACACUCGGGAUGUAACGCGAUAGGCCCUCCCCUGCUCGGUUAUGCAUAUGUAGAAGGAGUUAUGCAUAUGUAGAAGGGGUUAUGCAUAUGUAGAAGGGGUGUAGACGAAGUAGAUAGCGGCUUAUUUAAACCGCUAACACACACAAUAAAACGCCAUUUAGCUAUUCA
rnacentral:lncRNA from 1 species